rnacentral:rRNA from 1 species
UACGUAGGCAGCGAGCGUUGUUCGGAAUUACUGGGCGUAAAGGGUGCGUAGGCGGGUCUUUAAGUCAGGGGGGAAAUCCUGGAGCUCAACUCCAGAACUGCCUUUGAUACUGAGGAUCUUGAGUUCGGGAGAGGUGAGUGGAACUGCGAGUGUAGAGGUGAAAUUCGUAGAUAUUCGCAAGAACACCAGUGGCGAAGGCGGCUCACUGGCCCGAUACUGACGCUGAGGCACGAAAGCGUGGGGAGCAAACAGG